AUAUUACCCUUAAAUUAGAAUUCUGCUGACAAACUACAGUAUAAACGAGUGUCUAAUAGUGUUGUAGAAACAUGUAGUAUUUAUUAUUUAGCCAUUUUAGCAUCUUAUUUCAAACUUAAGUAUUCUGCUAACAAUCUUCAUUACUGCACUCUCUUCAGGUGAAAACUCUGCACUACGUUGAAUUUGAAUCAGCCAUUGCUUCUGGCUAUGAGGCACCCAGCAAAAGUGCCUGUAUAAGUGGCUGAAAUGCACUAGACGGCUGCCAUGUCUCGGGUACACCUCCAGCUGGCUCGGCCACUCACGAGCCGAUACGGCUUUAAACAGCAACUCACCCCCAAAUCAACUCCAUUUAGCAGUCCUUUUUUAGAACUCCUCCUGAGACAGCAGCAUGGUCCCCCCCCCACCCCCACUUUUCUUUGCUCCUUCUUUUCCUCCUCGGGAUGAAGGAAAGAGUGAGCGACGGAUAGGUGUUGUCCAGGCUGGAAGGGGGCUCCGAAUGUGUUGCAUAGAAACAGAGAAACAGAGUGAGACGCUCAGACUACGACCUCAAAGACAUCAGAGAGGAAGGAGAACCUGUGACACGGCCUGGAAGCCGCCUCACUCGCUCGUCAGACAAGCUUUACUCACACAAGCUCCCCUCAAGUCGCUCAAGCUG